GCGAGAGUGGCGGAAUUGGUAGACGCACCAGAUUUAGGAUCUGGCGGUUAACCCCGUGGGGGUUCGAGUCCCCCCUUUCGCACCA
rnacentral:tRNA from 1 species